CCCGUCGCACCCUUCUCCCCCCAUUUCCUCGCCGUCGCCGCCCCCUCCCGAUCCACUCUUCUCCCCCCGCAGCAACCAUUCCUCAUCAUCCCUCCCACAGCUCGCCGCCGACGGCCUCUCAUCUCCCAUCCGCUUCUGUCCCACAGCACGCGGAACGCCUCCUCCUCGAUCCAGCGCGCCGCCGCCUCCUCCCCGAUCCAGAUCCAAUGCGUCACCGCCUCCUCCCUGAUCCAGAUCGACACACUGGCUCUCUCACCUAGCCGGCAGGUCCCUCCGCCGUCGCCGCUCCCUCCUCCCCCUGCUCUGGCCAUCCUUCCUUCCGCCACCUCCGUCUGCUCCGCCUACUGCACCGCCGCCUCCGACGCAUGGCGGACGCUGACAGCAACAGCAACCCGCUGCUCGCCGACAUCGACUUCCCGCCCUUCGACCGCGUCGAGCCCGGGCACGUCCGCCCCGGGAUCCCCGUUCCUCGUCCGCACAUCCGCGCGCUCCUCGCCCGCCUCUUGAUUCUUGGGCUUGGACAUGGAGAGGCAGACCAGCUUUCGCCUGGGCAUGCUGGAGAAGCUCAAGAGCUUCCGGGGGAUGGAUAACUUCAGGCGGAGCAAGGACAGCCCUGGCAAGCGCGGUGACACGCCGCUCCACCUCGCGGCGAGGGCCAGCAACGUCUCCAACAUCCAGAGGAUCCUUGCCGAAUCCGGCCAGGAAAUGGCCGAGCUGGAGGAGGGCGAGCUGGAGGAGCUUGAGAAGGGCGUGGAGCCUGCGUGGGAGCGCUUGGUCCACCCGCUCGAGCGCAUCAUCGACAGACUGAAUGUCAGUAAGAUACUCAGGGGUGGGGGAACCCCUUAGUAUUUCUCCCACUCACUCCCGUGCAUUUGUCCCACUAAACCACUGCUGUAGCUCACAGGACACUACAAAUCUUCAAUCUUGAAGGAGUUCAUUCUGUGCAUCCGGAGGCGUACGAGUUCAAGAUCGGCGACCAGUUUUUUCGGAGGCCCGGAGACCCACCCCUGGACCAAGUUAUCGAGAUGCUAUAGAAGCACAAGGAUAAGUAUCAAGAUGAAAUCUAGCUAGCUGGCUAUAGUAUGCCUUAUGCUCUCGCUGAUUUAUUUCUUUUGCGCUCUUUUGCACUUCUAUACUGAUGAGUGAGCAAUUUGGUAGCAGCUAGCUAACCACCUCUAGAUUGUAACCCUGUUAUGGGAUGUGUGGUUGCGCAUGCGUUCUACAUUGUCAAAUGUAUUCUCUGUUGUCACACAUCGUAUGCGAUGUUGUUCAUAGUUUUUAUAUUUGUUGUCAUGCGAUGCGGUCACUGAAUUGCUCAAAUUUGCUGGCCAAGUACUAUGUAGUGCUGUUCUAUGCUAGGCUACCAGGGUAGGUAACUUCUGUAUAAAAAUCAUGGGUUCUAAUCUUUACUAUUAUCUGCCAUGGAUCAACAAUGAUGUGUCACAAGUAGUAGUAGUAGAGUCGGACUUGGUGCUGCAUUGCCUAGUUAUUAGCUCCUCGAUCGUUUCCUCACAGCGUGGGGUCAGCACUUUACCUCAACUUGUCUGCAUUUUCUCUCACACACUAGACUUGCUCAUCAAUAACAUAAUGGCAGUGCGUGAGUGAGUCCUGUAGGUAUGUUUGUUUUUAGGCUGGUUGUAGAUGGCUUUGUAUGUUAUGGUAGUGUGCUUGCUCUCCCUGCUCUGCUUUCGCUUGGAGAAGAGAAGAGCAGAGCAGAGCAGGGUAAGCAAAACAAACAACACUUGUUUGCAGCUAAUGCGUACAAACACACUAGCAGCUCUCUAAUUAGAACACCAGAUGCUGUGCAACUCCCUACUAGUAGAUACCAACCACAUGUAUCUACGGAUUUACUACUAAAUCCAAUUACAGUACUACUAGAUGUUGUGUGAUUCCUUCCAUUCUAUGAUAGAUAAAGAAGUACUUCAUCAGUAACGAGACAUGCUAAUUUGGUGCUGAAAUUUAUAAGCAACUAAAUUGUGCAGAAUUAAGUUUCACAUUCAAAUCAAUGUUGUGGCAGUAUGUCAUGUGUGCACCAUGGGCAGAAAUUUUAGAGCCAACUGAAAGAAAUUAUACUCUUUACUGCAGAACAGUAUACAACAUUACUUUGUUGGUUGCCUGCUAAUUGUGUGCAAACUACUUAUCAAUAGCUUAUCAAGCACUGCCUGACUGGCUCGCAUCGCUCUGUUGUCGUCGUUGUACUGUCAGUGCUCUUUCCUCUCUCUGUCUACGACAGUAGGAUUCAUGCACCAAGCCAAGAACCUGAAUCUUUUGUUAGGCUGCUAGUAAACUAGUCUGUACUCUUUCCAAUUGCAAGUUGGAUAGAACCUGCAAUUAAGUGCACAGACAUACAUGGAUUCUGUUUCAAUUCGUAUGUAUGUUUGUAUGUGCAUGCUUAUGACUUUGACUAAAACUAGUUAAUUCAUUGUUCUACCUUGAAGGUGACCAGUCCCUAGCUGCGCGCUUUGGUCGGUCCUGCUAAUUUCUGUUCCUAUGAUUUUUAAUCUCCGUUUUCUGUUUUCCCCGGCUACCAAGACUCUGAGUUUGUGGUGAUGGCAGCUGACACGGAGCCGAUCAAAAUCUUCCCCCACCCCUUGUUCCUCCCUGAUGAUAACAAGGGCGACCGAGGAAGGCAUGUUGCGUUUUAUUUGUUCCCAGCCCUGAUUAUGGUCGUCCAGCGAGUCUGGCAUGUUGUUCAUUUGACUAUGGUCGCCCAGCAAGUCCGGCAUGUUGUCAUUUUCUUGUAAAGCACUACUGUAUUACACUUGUAGAGCUUGUAAAGUACUGUUUUACACAUGGUCACAUGUAUUGGCACAGAUAGAGCUUGUUACUGUGAUUGCGAUUGUAUUACAUAAUCAGGUUGCUCUUA